AGCAAUGUCGCUAUGCGGCUUUAUACAUUCCUAUAAAGUUCGGUACGAAACAUCGGCGAGAU
rfam:Angomonas deanei Cont12685, whole genome shotgun sequence.